CGGACGGGUGAGUAACGCGUGAGAAUCUGCCCUCAGGAGGGGGAUAACGGUUGGAAACGACCGCUAAUACCCCAUAUGCCUAUUGGUGAAAUGAAUUUCGCCUGAGGAUGAGCUCGCGUCUGAUUAGCUAGUUGGUGAGGUAAUGGCUCACCAAGGCUUCGAUCAGUAGCUGGUCUGAGAGGAUGAUCAGCCACACUGGGACUGAGACACGGCCCAGACUCCUAUGGGAGGCAGCAGUGGGGAAUUUUCCGCAAUGGGCGAAAGCCUGACGGAGCAACGCCGCGUGAGGGACGAAGGCCUCUGGGCUGUAAACCUCUUUUCUCAAGGAAGAAGAUAUGACGGUACUUGAGGAAUAAGCCACGGCUAAUUCCGUGCCAGCAGCCGCGGUAAUACGGGAGUGGCAAGCGUUAUCCGGAAUUAUUGGGCGUAAAGCGUCCGCAGGCGGCUUAUCAAGUCUGCUGUUAAAACGUGGAGCUUAACUCCAUCAUGGCAGUGGAAACUGAUAGGCUUGAGUAUGGUAGGGGCAGAGGGAAUUCCCGGUGUAGCGGUGAAAUGCGUAGAUAUCGGGAAGAACACCAGUGGCGAAGGCGCUCUGCUGGGCCAUUACUGACGCUCAUGGACGAAAGCCAGGGGAGCGAAUGGGAUUAGAUACCCCAGUAGUC
rnacentral:rRNA from 1 species